rnacentral:tRNA from 3 species
GGAGACAUAGCUCAGUGGGAGAGCAUUCGCUUGACGUGCGAAGGGUCGCAGGUUCAAGUCCUGUUGUCUCCA